rnacentral:rRNA from 1 species
GAUGAACGCUGGCGGCGUGCCUAACACAUGCAAGUCGAGCGAGAAGUAAAGAAAUGAAGCUUCGGUAGAUUUUCAUUAUGGAAAGCGGCGGACGGGUGAGUAACGCGUAGGCAACCUGCCCUGUACAGGGGGAUAGCCACCCGAAAAGGUGAUUAAUACCCCAUGAUGCAAGAGAUACACAUGUAUCACUUGUCAAAGAUUUAUCGGUAUGGGAUGGGCCUGCGUCUGAUUAGCUAGUUGGUAGGGUAACGGCUUACCAAGGCAACGAUCAGUAGCCGACCUGAGAGGGUGAUCGGCCACAUUGGAACUGAGACACGGUCCAAACUCCUACGGGAGGCAGCAGUGGGGAAUAUUGCACAAUGGGGGAAACCCUGAUGCAGCAACGCCGCGUGAAGGAAGAAGGCCUUCGGGUUGUAAACUUCUGUCCUAGGGGAAGAAACAAAUGACAUUACCCUUGGAGGAAGCCCCGGCUAACUACGUGCCAGCAGCCGCGGUAAUACGUAGGGGGCGAGCGUUAUCCGGAAUUAUUGGGCGUAAAGAGUGCGUAGGUGGCAUCUUAAGCGCAGGGUUUAAGGCAAUGGCUCAACCAUUGUUCGCCUUGCGAACUGGGGUGCUUGAGUGCAGGAGGGGAAAGUGGAAUUCCUAGUGUAGCGGUGAAAUGCGUAGAUAUUAGGAGGAACACCAGUGGCGAAGGCGACUUUCUGGACUGUUACUGACACUGAGGCA